GACCAGGUAGCUCAGGUGGUAGAGUAUUCAUACAGUAGAUGAAAGGUCGCGUGUUCAACUCAUGCCCUGGUCG